AGCGAACGCUGGCGGCAGGCCUAACACAUGCAAGUCGAACGAACUCUUCGGAGUUAGUGGCGGACGGGUGAGUAACACGUGGGAACGUGCCUUUUGGUUCGGAAUAGCUCAGGGAAACCUGUGCUAAUACCGAAUGUGCCCUUCGGGGGAAAGAUUUAUCGCCAUUAGAGCGGCCCGCGUCUGAUUAGCUAGUUGGUGAGGUAACGGCUCACCAAGGCGACGAUCAGUAGCUGGUCUGAGAGGAUGACCAGCCACACUGGGACUGAGACACGGCCCAGACUCCUACGGGAGGCAGCAGUGGGGAAUCUUGCGCAAUGGGCGAAAGCCUGACGCAGCCAUGCCGCGUGAAUGAUGAAGGUCUUAGGAUUGUAAAAUUCUUUCACCGGGGACGAUAAUGACGGUACCCGGAGAAGAAGCCCCGGCUAACUUCGUG
rnacentral:rRNA from 1 species